GAUAGCAUAGCGAAGUGGAUUAGCGCGUUUCAUUUCGGAUCAAAAGGUCGUGGGUUCGACUCUCACUAUUGUCG
rnacentral:tRNA from 1 species